GCAUACAACACUACUGCAUUUCCUGUACAGCUUGCUGCAUUUCACUUGGUGAUCUGCUCUGCUGUCUGGUGUGCAAGGGAGGCUAGCAGCAAGCGCCGGACAGCGACGAGCUGGGUGGAGGCGCAGGCACUGUCCCUGCGAUGUUGUGGGACUCGGACAGCGAUGAUGAAGUGCGCGUGGUUGACCAUCCUACUGAGCGUCGUGCUGCUACUCAGGCAGAGAAAGGAAAGGCCAUGGGUGUUACAUGCUAUGAUGCGAGAGAAAAUUGGUGGAGAGCUAGUUCGGUGGAACGCAACUAGGUUUGGUACUGUUUUUAUUUUCCUGCAGAGUUUUUGGACAGAAAAGAUAAAUUUAAGUUGUGGUUGGCAUCAGCUGAUUGGGAGAACUGUAAGUGGGCUGGUGAAGAAGAUCAUGACUUCACAUAUGAUUGUUUGACAAAAAAUAAAUGGUGGACUAACAUGGAAAAGGUUUUGAAAGCUGUGUCACCAAUCUACUCUGUACUUCGUUUAGGUGAUCAAUAGAAGAGUGUGUCUAUGUCUUCUUUUCUUCCAAAAAUGAUGAGUGCUAUGGCUAAAAUGCGAGCCAAUUUGGGUGAUGAUCCUAUCAACAAAACCCUGUGUGAUAGAUUAAUGCAAGUAAUCAAUAGAAGACUUGACUAUAUGCUCAAUGAUACUCUUAUGCUUGCAGCUGCUGCCCUUAACCCUGAAGCGCUAUAUACUUCCAAAAUGGCAAGAAAACCAAAGUUCCAACAUGCUGUGACAAUGGCCAUAAAGAAACUUUCAAGCUCAUCUUCAAAGGCUUCAGCUGCAAUUGAUCAAUAUACUUUCUUCAGAAAGCAAGCUGGGUUAUUUGGAGGAGAAGAGGCUAAAGAUUUAGCACUUAAUGGCCGCGCAAGUGCAGCUGAUUGGUGGGAUCAAUAUAGUGGAGACUACCCAGAAUUACAAGAGUUUGCACGUCGUAUUGUUUCUCAAUGCAUGUCCUCUAGUGGUUGCGAAUGUAAUUGGAGUACCUUUGCUUUGGUUCAUACCAAAUUGAGGAAUCGGUUGAGUUAUGAUAAGUUGCAUAAACUGGUUUAUGUUCACUACAACUUGAAGUUGCGCAUUCAACAUUACGAAACUGAUAUGGAAAGUCUUGAACAAAUGAAAAACUCUAAAGAUAGGAACAUAGAUCCAUGUAGCAUCAUGAUAGAUGUUGCUAUGUAUGAUGAAGCCAACCCGAUUAUGGAAUGGUUGUGCAGUUCUAGGAGUGAAUCAGUGCCGACACUUGAUGAAAAUGAUGAGCCUGAAUCCCCUAAUAGACCAAGUGGAUUCGUUUUAGAGGAGUUAGGAGGAUUGAACGAAGAAGAGAUGAUUCUUUUAAAUUCUAGGAUUGGUUCUGGUAGGAAAAAUGUUAGGAAAAGGAAGGUUGUAAAAGAAGAUAUUGGAGAUGAUUUCCUAUCAGAUAGUAGUGAGGGAGGAGGUAGCCCAACCUACAACGAGUCAGGUGACAGUGACUCUAAUGAUGGUGGUGGUGAUGAUGAAGAUGGUGACCCUAGUGGUCCAAGUUCUGCAGCUAGGCCACCAACUCAUGUAGCUACAGACCAAUAUAAUGGUCAUAGUCAAGAUGAACAACCAGCCCCUCUCUGUCCAAGAUCAAAAAGGCAGAAGAAGCUCUCCAUCAAGGGCCUGUACAUGCUUGAGAAGUGAUCUAAUCUUCAAGCACAAGCACAAGAAUAUGGCGUAUGCAUGGACUGAUUCAAUGGCAAGAUUUUGAACAUGUGGCUCUAUUGUAUCAACUGUGUGCUCUGUUUCGGUUUCAGCACAAUAUUGCUGCCAUAUCUGGUUUAUGUGGCCUACCAAUAUUUAGAACUGUGAUUGAUUUCUAUGCAUUAUUUGAACUAUGGACUAUCAAAUAUUUGUGACUCAACACUAGUGUUAUAUUCACUGGUGCAUGGAUGCUACCAAAGAACUUUAUUUAUGUAAUAUUUGGUUUA